UACGUAGGGGGCAAGCGUUGUCCGGAAUCAUUGGGCGUAAAGCGCGUGUAGGCGGCCAGAAAAGUCCGCUGUGAAAACUCGAGGCUCAACCUCGAGCUGUCGGUGGAAACUUUCUGGCUAGAGUCCGGAAGAGGAGAAUGGAAUUCCUGGUGUAGCGGUGAAAUGCGCAGAUAUCAGGAGGAACACCGGUGGCGAAGGCGGAUCUCUGGGCCAUUACUGACGCUGAGGAGCGAAAGCGUGGGGAGCAAACAGG
rnacentral:rRNA from 1 species